rnacentral:rRNA from 1 species
AUUGAACGCUAGCGGGAUGCCUUACACAUGCAAGUCGAACGGAGUGGCGAACGGGUGAGGAAUGUAUCGGAACGUGCCCAGUAGCGGGGGAUAACUCAGCGAAAGCGUAGCUAAUACCGCAUACUAUUGGAGCGGCCGCUGUCGGAGUAGCUAGUUGGUGGGUGAACGGCUCACCAAGGCGACGAGCCGUAGCUGGUUUGAGAGGACGACCAGCCACACUGGGACGGAGACACGGCCCAGACUCCUACGGGAGGCAGCAGUGGGGAAUUUUGGACAAUGGGGGAAACCCUUAUCCAGCCAGCCCGCGUGUGCGAUGAAGGCCUUCGGUUUGUAAAGCACUUUUGGCAGGAAAGCGGUACCUGCAGAAUAAGCACCGGCUAACUCCGUGCCAGCCGCCGCGGUAAUUC